rnacentral:misc_RNA from 1 species
GAGCUCACGCUCACUAUCGGAUCGUUUUAGAAACAUCAGUGGCCAACAGAUCGCCAGAUCGUUGAGCUGCAUUGGCGGGAUUUCGCCGUCUUCGUUUCUCUUUCUUCGCGGACGAACACGCGCUGGGCCUGCAACGGCAGGAUCCAGGGUCCUUAACGGGAUGUGCGUUAGGGGCUUGUAGCUCAGUUGGUUAGAGCGCGCGCUUGAUAAGCGUGAGGUCGGAAGUUCAAGUCUUCCCAGGCCCACCACUUUCAUCGAGUGAGCAUUCGUCUUCUGGUUACGGGGCCAUAGCUCAGCUGGGAGAGCGCGUGCUUUGCAAGCAUGAGGUCGUCGGUUCGAUCCCGUCUGGCUCCACCAGAUGGUUUGAUCACCGAGAUCUUGACCGUCGUCCGCGAAACAUCACUUCGCAUCCUGCUAGUCUGGAUAGACAGCAGUUUGCGUGUUUUCUGACAUCGUAAAGAGGAGAUCGAUCCGAGUUGGGUCGUGCAGCAUAUCGUUGCGCGAGCCUUCAUUAUCUCCGGAUCAUUUCGGCGCUCGCUUCCAGCCGUGAGGUUGGAUGCGGGUUGUAAAUGAUCCUUUUAGCGAAGCUUGACCGCCUCGCUAUCGGAACGAUCUUACGAAGCAAGCUGGUCUUUCUAGUCAAUGUCCGGCUGCGGAUAGCGUUCAUCGAGGGCGCGUGCCGCAAGGCAAUUCUGCAGACAACAUUCUGCCGAGUGUGUGGACAUUGAUAAUGAGAGCAAUCAAGUGCCUUAAGGGUGUUCGGUGGAUGCCUUGGCGCUGAGAGGCGAUGAAGGACGUGCUACGCUGCGAUAAGCCGUGGGGAGCUGCGAAGAACCUUUGAUCCGCGGA